GUAUUAAUUGCGUGUGAUCGCAAAGAAAGACAUUCUACACUGUAUCGAGUUUGUGUGAAAACGCGAGCCCCCGGAAGGGGACCCACGCGGUGGUGCACAUAGGGGUGAGAUGGAUGUUUGAGAACGCUCGAGCGUGCACGACCAAAAAAAGCCAGCGACAGCCCUCGCGCCUCGGUUGUACGAUAAUGAUCCUUCCGCAGGUUCACCUACGGAAA
rnacentral:misc_RNA from 1 species